GAGUAAGGAGGGUGACCAGCAGCAGGAGGAGAAAGAACAUGGCGGGCGCAUCGGGGCUCGGGACCGGCCCAGGAGCAGCGGGGGGAGAUGGAGAUGAUUCGCUAUACCCAAUCGCGGUUUUAAUCGACAAGCUCCGCAAUGAAGACGUGCAGCUCCGACUCAACAGUAUUAAGAAGUUAUCAACAAUUGCCCUAGCACUUGGAGUAGAAAGGACGCGAAGUGAAUUGUUGCCAUUCCUUACAGAUAUAAUUUAUGAUGAAGAUGAGGUACUAUUAGCUCUUGCUGAACAGCUGGGAAAUUUCACUGGCCUAGUGGGAGGUCCUGACUUUGCCCACUGUCUGCUGCCUCCUUUGGAAAAUCUGGCAACUGUGGAAGAGACUGUUGUUCGUGACAAGGCUGUGGAGUCCCUGAGACAGAUCUCCCAGGAGCAUACUCCUGUUGCUCUGGAAGCUUAUUUUGUACCUCUGGUGAAACGCCUAGCAAGUGGGGAUUGGUUCACCUCUCGCACGUCUGCAUGUGGUUUAUUCAGCGUUUGCUAUCCCAGGGCAUCAAAUGCUGUUAAAGCAGAAAUCAGACAGCAAUUCCAUUCCUUGUGCUCAGAUGACACACCAAUGGUACGACGUGCUGCUGCUUCCAAAUUGGGUGAAUUUGCAAAAGUUUUGGAAUUAGACAGUGUGAAAAGUGAAAUUGUUCCACUCUUCACUAAUCUAGCUUCAGAUGAACAGGAUUCAGUGUGCCUCCUAGCUGUGGAAGCUUGUGUCAGUAUUGCCCAGUUAUUGUCUCAGGAUGACCUUGAGACUUUGGUGAUGCCUACACUUCGACAAGCAGCAGAAGAUAAAUCUUGGUGAGUUCGCUAUAUGGUGGCUGACAAAUUUUCAGAGCUCCAGAAAGCCAUGGGUCCCAAAAUCACCCUAAAUGACCUCAUCCCCGCCUUUCAGAACCUACUUAAAGACUGUGAAGCUGAAGUCCGGGUGGCUGCUGCCCACAAAGUAAAAGAACUUGGUGAGAACUUGCCCAUUGAAGAUAGAGAGACCAUAAUUAUGAAUCAGAUUCUGCCCUAUAUAAUGGAAUUAGUAUCCGAUACCAAUCCACAUGUCAAAUUGGCUCUAGCUUCUGUAAUUAUGGGAUUGUCUACUAUUUUGGGCAAAGAGAAUACCAUUGAACAUCUUCUACCUCUUUUUUUAGCUCAGUUAAAGGAUGAGUGUCCUGAAGUUCGUUUGAAUAUCAUCUCCAAUUUGGAUUGUGUAAAUGAAGUGAUUGGAAUCCAUCAGCUCUCUCAGUCUCUCCUUCCUGCCAUAGUGGAGCUGGCUGAAGAUGCCAAAUGGAGGGUCCGGCUGGCCAUCAUUGAGUAUAUGCCGCUGCUGGCAGGCCAGCUGGGUGUGGAAUUCUUUGAUGAAAAGCUGAAUUCUUUAUGUAUGGCUUGGCUUGUGGACCAUGUAUACGCCAUCCAAGAAGCUGCCACCAACAACCUCAUGAAACUAGUUCAGAAGUUUGGUACAGAGUGGGCCCAAAAUACCAUCGUUCCCAAAGUGUUGGUAAUGGCAAAUGAUCCUAAUUACUUGCAUAGAAUGACUACUUUAUUCUGCAUUAAUGCACUGUCUGAGGCCUGUGGUCAGGAAAUAACCACUAAGCAAAUGCUGCCCAUCGUAUUAAAAAUGGCAGGAGACCAAGUAGCAAAUGUUCGCUUGAAUGUGGCCAAAUCUCUACAAAAAAUUGGACCAAUUCUAGAUACCAAUGCUUUACAGGGAGAAGUUAAACCAGUACUACAGAAGUUAGGUCAAGAUGAAGACAUGGAUGUCAAAUACUUUGCACAGGAAGCUAUAAGUGUUCUUGCAUUGGCAUAAUGAGGAGCAGGAGGGAAAAGACCUUUACUAAAUUCUUAUCACAGAUUUCUAGUCAAUGUGUUCUUAACUGGGUAGAGAAAGAAUGGAAAACCUUCAAGAUCUCAUCCAAGCAAAUGGCAACAACUUAGAAGAAAUCAAAUUUUAGUGACUUGAUUCUUUCUAAAGAUGAAAUGGGAUUGUUUUUUACUCGUCUUCUUUGUUAAGUCAUUAUUUAAGCCAUUCUUACUGACCAAUUCCUGACACUUGAUACUUGAUUGUCUCCUAAUGCUUUAUCCAUCACCACCUGGGCUCCUGCAUCCUCACUGUGGAAUCAGGCCCCAGCCACAUAAUGUUCCAGACAAAGCCUGGAAGGAUGUGGACCCAGGCUUGGAGUGGAGUGAUUCUCUUGACGUUUACAUAUAUCUCUGUGUCUCUCCAUCAUUCCAAAGUUAAAUGUACAUGUUUAGAAUAACUUAUUUUAUAAACUCUUUGGGAGGCAUGUUGAGAUUUGACCAUAGUGAAAGCCACAUUUUCCUGAAUUAUGAUGGUCUGCAUCAGUCUCAUCAGUCUCACAUGAAAGGGGAAUGUGGAAGCUCAGGGUUAAUGUAGUGGUUAUUUUGGUUUUUAUUUGCUCAUGUCUGUAUUUUGGUUUUUAUUUGCUCAUGUCUGUAGUCAUGUCAUUCAGAAACCUGAAGUGUGGCUGCAUCUUGCUGCUAAUGUGUGAUGUUGACACCUAACUGAAUUUGAACAGUUCACCACUGUGCCUACAUUUAAAAAUACUUCUCUCUCUUUUCUGAAAAGCUUUAUCUGUAGUGCCUCGUAAUAAGCAGUAUGUCUGUUUCAUUGUAAGAUUGCAGUUCUGUAUUUUGAAUGAGUCUGAGAACCACAGGGAUAAUACUGUACAGAUUUCCUGCUCUUUACCUGGCUCUGCUUCCAGCAGUAUUAACACCUGGUCCUUGCUGCAUUGUGCGGUAGCUUUUCAAACUGCAGUUUUACUGCUAAUUUUUUAGUAUAGGUGAUGCUGGAGUCUUAUUUGAAGUGUUUGCUUUUCUACUUUUACAGUAAAACCUCAUUAAUUCUGAAAUUUAA